AUGAUCCUGUGCCUAAACUUUUUAUUCUUACUUGUACUGCUUGGAGGUGUCCGAUCUGAGGCCCAAUUGGUGGAGUCUGGAGGAGAUGUAAGAAGACCUGAAGGGUCCCUCCGUCUCUCCUGCCAAGCCUCUGGAUUCACCUUCAGCAGCACUUACAUGAACUGGGUGAGAAGGGCUCCUGGGAAAGGCCUGGAAUGGGUGGCCUACAUACAUCCAGGCUCAUCUUACAUUUACUACCCAGACAAAGUGAAAGGACGCUUUGCCAUCUCCAGGGACAAUGCCAAAAGCCAGCUGUAUCUGCAAAUGAACAAUCUGAAACCAGAGGACACAGCUGUCUAUUACUGUGCUGGAUACACACAGUGA